UUAAUCAGUUAUCGUUUAUUUGAUAGUACCUUUACCUGGAUAACCGUGGUAAUUCUAGAGCUAAUACAUGCUAAAAACCUCGACUUCGGAAGGGGUGUAUUUAUUAGAUAAAAAACCAAUGCCCUUCGGGGCUCCUUGGUGAAUCAUAAUAACUUAACGAAUCGCAUGGCCUUGCGCCGGCGAUGGUUCAUUCAAAUUUCUGCCCUAUCAACUUUCGAUGGUAAGAUAGAGGCUUACCAUGGUCUUAACGGGUAACGGGGAAUUAGGGUUCUAUUCCGGAGAGGGAGCCUGAGAAACGGCUACCACAUCCAAGGAAGGCAGCAGGCGCGCAAAUUACCCAAUCCCGACACGGGGAGGUAGUGACAAUAAAUACUGAUACGGGGCUCUUUUGGGUCUCGUAAUUGGAAUGAGUACAAUCUAAAUCCCUUAACGAGGAACAAUUGGAGGGCAAGUCUGGUGCCAGCAGCCGCGGUAAUUCCAGCUCCAAUAGCGUAUAUUAAAGUUGUUGCCGUUAAAAAGCUCGUAGUUGAACCUUGGGCCUGGCUGACCUGUCCUCCUAAUCGAGCGCACGGGUUCGGUCGGGCCUUUCCUUCUAGGGAACCCCAUGCCCUUCACUGGGUGUGGUGGGGAACUAGGACUUUUACCUUGAAAAAAUUAGAGUGUUCAAAGCAGGCCUUUGCUCGAAUACAUUAGCAUGGAAUAAUAGAAUAGGACAUCGGUUCUAUUUUGUUGGUUUCUAGGACCGCCGUAA
rnacentral:rRNA from 1 species